GUGCUCACUUUGGCAGCACAUAUACUAAACGUGGAAUGAUACAGAGAAGAUUACCAUGGUCCCUGCGCAAGAAUAGCAUGCAAAUUCGAGAAGUGUUCCAUAUUUAU